GCCAUCCUGGAUCCUGCAACACAGAGAGCAGCCAAUGAGGAGGAGGCGUGGUCGCCAUGGAGACGGAGAGAUAAAGAGGAGCAGCAGAGAUCAGCACUGAGAAGGAGAACGAACCUGCGGAGUGACAAACAUCAGGUUACCAUGACGACCACACAGCGAGGCAACCUGGAAACCCGACGGCACCUGACCCGGUACUGCAGCAGGAAGCCAAUCUCUGCCUGUCCCAGAACAUAAAAUGAAUAAAAUAAAAACAGGUCUCUGGACCGGCUUUAG